rnacentral:rRNA from 1 species
GGAGUAUGGGCCGUGUCUCAGUCCCAUUGUGGCUGAUCAUCCUCUCAAACCAGCUACUGAUCGUCGCCUUGGUGGUCCAUUACACCCCCAACUAGCUAAUCAGAUGCAGACUCAUCCUGGAGCGAUAAAUCUUUCACGAAUAGUAUCUCAACUACGCGCAUAUGGGGUAUUAGCAGGAGUUUCCCUCUGUUGUCCCCCUCUCCAGGGCAGAUUCUCUACACAUUACUCACCCGUCCGCCACUUUCCUCUAACCGAAGCUAGAUUCUCGUUCGACUUGCAUGUAUGAAGCACGCCGCCAGCGUUCGUCCUCGAGCCAUGAUCAAACUCU